GCAGGAAUGUAAGGGUGUAUGGUGGAUGCCUUGGCUUUACAAAGCGAUGAAAGACGUGGAAUGUCUGCGAUAUGUUUCGGGGAGGUGACAAUCAACCUUUGAUCCGGAAAUUUCUGAAUGGGGAAACCCAACCGAUUACGUCGGUUACCUUUCGUAUGAAAGGAGUGUACCUAGGGAAGUGAAACAUCUCAGUACCUAGAGGAAUAGAAAGCAAUAUACGGAACUUUCUUUCUGGUUAAAACUAAGCCUUCGGGCUGCCAUUGAAACCAGGAAGAAGGUUCUUGCGAUUCCCUGAGUAGCGGCGAGCGAAACGGGAGAAGCCCAAACCUUUGGUAGCAAUAUUAAAGGGGUUGUAGGGCAAAGUCUGCAUUUAGUUGCGGAGAGUUAUAAAAUAUAUGUAUAGAAGAACGAACUGGGAAGUUCGACCCCAGAGGGUAAUAGUCCCGUACUUGAAAUGCAUAUAUCUCUCUUGAUUUUGUUCCUGAGUAGUCCGAGACAUGAAUAGCUCGGAUGAAUCCGCCAGUACUAACUGGUAAGGCUAAAUAUUUGUAAAGACCGAUAGUGAACUAGUACCGUGAGGGAAAGGUGAAAAGAACCCCGGAGAGGGGAGUGAAAUAGAUCUGAAACCAUACAUCUACAAGGAGUCGAAGCCUUUAGGGGCGACGGCGUGCCUAUUGAAGAAUGAGCCGGCGAGUGUACCUUUGUCCUUUGUCUAAGUGGCAAACCCACGGAGGCACAGUGAAAGCGAGCGUGAAUAGCGCGAAUAUAGGGCAGGGGUACGACCCGAAGCGGGAAGAGCUUGCCAUGAGCAGGGUGAAGCGACUGUAAAAGGUCGUGGAGGCCCGAACCGGUUGGCCGUACAAAACCAUCGGAUGACUUGUGGUAAGGAGUGAAAAGCUUAUCGAUUUCCGUAAUAGCUGGUUCUCUCCGAAACAGCUUUAGGGUUGGCGUCGAGUGGUCCCAUUGGGGGUAGAGCACUGGAAGGGUCAAACAGGGUGAAAACUCGUUGACCCUAUCAAACUCCGAAUACCAAUGGUUAUAGCUCGGCAGUUAGACUAUGGGGGAGAAGCUCCAUUGGUCGAAAGGGAAACAGCCCAGAUCGCCAGUUAAGGUCCCAAAAUAUAUGCUCAGUGCAACUUGAGGAGGUGAGGAUUCUCCAACAGCCAGGAGGUUGGCUUAGAAGCAGCCAUCCUUUAAAGAAAGCGUAACAGCUCACUGGUCGAGAGUCCUUGCGCCGAAGAUGAUCGGGGCUCAAGCAUAUUACCGAAACUGCGGAUUCGUACUUUCUUCGGAAAGUGCGAGUGGUAGGAGAGCGUUCGUAUCUGCGAUGAAUGGGAGGGGAGACCCAACCUGGAGCGAUGCGAAGUGAGAAUGCCGGCACAAGUAACCGCAAGACGGGUGAGAACCCCGUCCGCCGAAAUACCGAGGUUUCCUUUGCGAUGGUGAUCAGCGAAGGGUUAGUCGGUCCUAAGCCGAUGGCGAAUGCCGGAGGCGAUGGAGAGCAGGUUAAUAUUCCUGCACACCACUAUGUUCCUAUGGAGGGACGGAGGGUUGUACUUAAAGCAUCUUAUUGGAUUGGUGCUGGAGCUAUGAGCGUGUUACUUAGGCAAAUCCGGGUAACAAUAACGCGAGUAGAGUCUGAAUCUGCGGCUACGGCCAAAGAAAUUUAAGGAGCACGCUUCCGAGAAAAACUUCGUUUGGGUUAAACAUAGCGGUUCCGUACCGCAAACCGACACAGGUGGUAAGGUCGAGAAGACCAAGGCGAACGAGUGAGGGGUCCUUAAGGAACUCGGCAAAAAAGCGGCCGUAACUUCGGGAUAAGGCCUGCCUUUGCCCCUUCGGGGGUUAAAGGCCGCAGCGAAAGAUUUCCUGGCGACUGUUUAACAAAAACACAGCUCUCUGCGAAGACGUAAGUCCAUGUAUAGAGGGUGACGCCUGACCAAUGCGGGAAGGUUAAGCACGGGGGGUGAAGUGUCUUCGGAUGCUUUGCUGGACUGUGUAAGCCCCCGUCAAUGUCAGCGAUAACUAUAAUCGUUCUAAGGUAGAGCGCGUUUCUUCGGAAAUUCGCUCUACGGAUUAGAACGGUUAUAGAGUUAAACAGCCCGAGCCAUAGUUACCUUAUUAGUGAGUAAUCAUUAAUAUUUCCAACUGCAACCAACAAGAGACCAAAUGUUGCACACCCGACUUUAUACCAGUUUGACUAGUAUAGAAGGGUGAAGAUAGAGUCCUAUUGUGUACGUAGAUACGCGGGUAUCUACAUUAAAGAAGGAAUUAUAGAGCGCAAUUCCUUGUCGGGUAAGUUCCGACGUGCACGAAUGGCGUAACGACUGGGAAACUGUCUCAAGGACCUGCUCGGUGAAAAUACAAUGGCUGUGAAGAUGCAGCCUACCUGCAGUUAGACGAAAAGACCCCAGGAGCUUUACUGUAGUUUCUUAUUGGGGCUGUUUGAUUUAUGUGUAGCAUAGAUGGGAGACUUUGAAGCGGGCUUUCGGGUACCGUGGAGUCGUCAGUGAAAUACCAUUCUUAAAUCGGGCAGUUCCUAACCCGACGCGACAAACGCGCUGGGGACAGUGAGUGGCAGGCAGUUUUAGUGGGGCGCUACCCUCCCAAAUUGUAACGGAGGGGUCUCAAGGUCAACUAGGCGCGAAUGGAAACCGUGCCGAUAGUGCAAUGGCAAAAGUUGGCUUGACUGCAAGGCGUAGAUGCCAAGCAGACACGAAAGUGGAGCAUAGUGAACCGAUGGUUGGCUUUAGAUGCCGCCGGAGAUUACCCGAUAAAAGUUACCCUGGGGAUAACAGGCUAGUCGUGCCCAAGCGUCCAAAGCGACGGCACGGUUCGGCACCUCGAUGUCGGCUCAUCUUAUCCUGGGGCUGGAGCAGGUCCCAAGGGUUUGGCUGUUCGCCAAUUAAAAAGAUACGCGAGCUGGGUUUAGACCGUUGAGUUCGCUCUUAGUUAUUAGCACUUCGCUAUUGGCUAAGGGACAUUCAGCAGUCUAAACCCCUUCGAAGAUUGUUUUAACUUUUCGAAAAUGAAAUAAAGAUAGAUCCAACCAACACGGCGGUCAUAUAUAGGAAUAUAUAUGAAAAAACUAACUAAUAUCGGUAGAACCCGACCACGAAAGUGAGGGCAAUACCGAGGGAAGGGUAAAACCGCCCUUAGAGACUGAACGUUAGUCAUCGAGAGGGGCUCGCGAAGACGCGCCCCCACUUAGAUUUCUAUAAAUAGAAAUCUAGGCGCC
rnacentral:rRNA from 1 species